rnacentral:rRNA from 1 species
AAAUUGAAGAGUUUGAUCAUGGCUCAGAUUGAACGCUGGCGGCAGGCCUAACACAUGCAAGUCGAACGGUAGCACAGAGAGCUUGCUCUCGGGUGACGAGUGGCGGACGGGUGAGUAAUGUCUGGGAAACUGCCUGAUGGAGGGGGAUAACUACUGGAAACGGUGGCUAAUACCGCAUAAUGUCGCAAGACCAAAGAGGGGGACCUUCGGGCCUCUUGCCAUCAGAUGUGCCCAGAUGGGAUUAGCUAGUUGGUGAGGUAACGGCUCACCAAGGCGACGAUCCCUAGCUGGUCUGAGAGGAUGACCAGCCACACUGGAACUGAGACACGGUCCAGACUCCUACGGGAGGCAGCAGUGGGGAAUAUUGCACAAUGGGCGCAAGCCUGAUGCAGCCAUGCCGCGUGUAUGAAGAAGGCCUUCGGGUUGUAAAGUACUUUCAGCGGGGAGGAAGGUGUUGUGGUUAA